GCCAGGGCCAGCAGCCUUCAGUCGGUAGCUGGCAGUAGAAGGAGGAGGAGCUCCGACUACAUUCUGUCCUUGUGCCUCUUGGACUUUUUUGUGUGUUUAGGUGCCCAAUGGGGAGCAAACUGACUUGCUGCCUGGGCCCCAGCGGGGGCCUCAACUGUGACUGCUGCAGGCCAGAUGUGGGACCCUGCCAUGAGUGUGAGAUUCCUGAGACUGUGGCAGCCGCAGCACCAGCAUCCACCACUGCAAAGCCUGCCAAAUUGGAUUUGAAAGCUAAGAAGGCCCAACUCAUGCAGUACCUCAACCUCCCGAAGACGCCGAAGAUGCCGAAGAUGCCCAAAGGUUUGGACGCCCACUCCAAGCGCUGGUUAAAAAUAAUAUGGAGACGGCACGGGAUUUGGCCUCUAGAAAAUAUAGGUCCCAUUGAAGAUGCGCAGGCGUCUGCACACGGCGGUGUGGAGGAGAAUAUGACAUCAGAUAUUGAAAUAUCUGAGGCCGAGCACGACCACCAUUUGGUCGAAGAUCUCAGUGAAAGCCUAUCUGUCUGUCUUGAAGACUUCAUGACAUCGGAUCUCAGUGAAAGCCUAUCUGUCUCUCUUGAAGACUUCAUGACAUCGGGUCUCAGUGAAAGCCAAUCUGUCUCUCUUGAAGACCUCAUGACACCAGAGAUGGCAAAGGAGAGAUAUGAAGAUUACCUCUGCUGGGUUAAGAUGGCACGGUCUCGGCUCAAUUAACCCAUCAGCUCCCAGGUUCAAGGACUUCUCCGGCUUUCGUGUUCCAAGUAGCUGGGAUUACGGACGCCUGCCAUCACGCCCAGCUUAAAUCAUUUUAUGAAUGCAUAUUUCCAUCUGGGUGAAAAAAAAAUCACAAGCCUCUCUCUCUUCCUACUGAGCACCUGUGAACAGUGACCUGCAGUUUGUGGCUGCAGCCAGUCCUCAUGGAGCCUGCUGUUCUUACAUUUCAUUCUGAGGCUCACAUUCUCAGUCACCAUGCAGGAGAACACCCGCCCCAUCCUGGGUCAUUACAGAGUGGGCCAACCCAUCUGCUGCAUCUGAGGAGCUGGGUCCAGCUUCUACGGUGAAUCCAUAUAUUUCUGUAUUUCCUGGAUAAGGAAGAGCAAAGGAGCUGAGCUGGUGGAGGAAGAAGAUCUAAUAUUAACUGACUCCUUAUUUUGUACCAGGUACUGUGCUAGUUACAUAUUUUAUCUCAUGUAAUUCUUACCAAAUAGUAAGGGGGUUGGGAGUGAUGGAGACAAUAUUGAUGUUAUCUCCAUUUUAGGGUGAGAAAAUGAAGGCUCAGAAAUGUUA
rnacentral:sRNA from 1 species